rnacentral:rRNA from 1 species
CAGCAGCCACGGUAAAACGUAGGUGGCAAGCGUUGUCCGGAAUUAUUGGGCGUAAAGCGCGCGCAGGCGGAUCGGUCAGUCUGUCUUAAAAGUUCGGGGCUUAACCCCGUGAUGGGAUGGAAACUGCCAAUCUAGAGUAUCGGAGAGGAAAGUGGAAUUCCUAGUGUAGCGGUGAAAUGCGUAGAUAUUAGGAAGAACACCAGUGGCGAAGGCGACUUUCUGGACGAAAACUGACGCUGAGGCGCGAAAGCCAGGGGAGCGAACGGGAUUAGAGACCCCUGUAGUCCCUGUCUCUUAUACA